CCUCCAAGACUACCCUGUGGCUUUAGACAACUUGAAUUAAAGAGAUGAACUUGAACAAGAAGCAACUUACUAGAUCUGCACUGUCUGAAUAUAGCACAGUAAGAGCAGAGGGCAUAAUCCAUAGUUUUGCUCUUACAUAUUAUAACUCAGUCCCUUAUUGUUGUUCUAACUCAGAGGGGCUACAUGGGUGAUCUUAUUCAUAAGAAGUUGGUGCUAUUGAGGAACUCCCGUUUCUCUCCAUAAGGUUCAAGAACUCCCCAGAAACUUGGCAUUGUCAAGGAAAUCCACUGUCUUUUGUCCUGGAGGCUGGGUCAUGUGGCUUCAUCCUCUGCUGGGGCCACAUCAUUGAAAGAUUCCACCAUUGCCACCAGAAGAUGAGGAGGGAUCAAGAAAACUAUGGAAUCUGGUGUUCAAAUUGUGUCUUAAAGAAAAAGGACUUUAUAAGGCAAAAAGAAAGAGAAAGUGCAUCCCAAGAAUAUGAAGUAACCAGUACAAAGACAAAGCAUGUAUUUAUUUGAGGAUCAUCAUAAUUCCAAGUUAUUUCAGAAAACUGAAAUUUAACA
rnacentral:lncRNA from 1 species